rnacentral:rRNA from 1 species
CAAGUCGAACGAUGAUGCCCAGCUUGCUGGGCGGAUUAGUGGCGAACGGGUGAGUAAUACGUGAGUAACCUGCCCUUGACUCUGGGAUAAGCCUGGGAAACUGGGUCUAAUACUGGAUACUACCUCUUACCGCAUGGUGGGUGGUGGAAAGGGUUUUACUGGUUUUGGAUGGGCUCACGGCCUAUCAGCUUGUUGGUGGGGUAAUGGCUCACCAAGGCGACGACGGGUAGCCGGCCUGAGAGGGUGACCGGCCACACUGGGACUGAGACACGGCCCAGACUCCUACGGGAGGCAGCAGUGGGGAAUAUUGCACAAUGGGCGGAAGCCUGAUGCAGCGACGCCGCGUGAGGGAUGACGGCCUUCGGGUUGUAAACCUCUUUCAGUAGGGAAGAAGCGAGAGUGACGGUACCUGCAGAAGAAGCGCCGGCUAACUACGUGCCAGCAGCCGCGGUAAUACGUAGGGCGCAAGCGAUGUCCGGAAUUAUUGGGCGUAAAGAGCUCGUAGGCGGUUUGUCGCGUCUGCUGUGAAAGCCCGGGGCUCAACCCCGGGUCUGCAGUGGGUACGGGCAGACUAGAGUGCAGUAGGGGAGACUGGAAUUCCUGGUGUAGCGGUGAAAUGCGCAGAUAUCAGGAGGAACACCGAUGGCGAAGGCAGGUCUCUGGGCUGUUACUGACGCUGAGGAGCGAAAGCAUGGGGAGCGAACAGGAUUAGAUACCCUGGUAGUCCAUGCCGUAAACGUUGGGCACUAGGUGUGGGGGACAUUCCACGUUUUCCGCGCCGUAGCUAACGCAUUAAGUGCCCCGCCUGGGGAGUACGGCCGCAAGGCUAAAACUCAAAGGAAUUGACGGGGGCCCGCACAAGCGGCGGAGCAUGCGGAUUAAUUCGAUGCAACGCGAAGAACCUUACCAAGGCUUGACAUUCACCGGACCGCCCCAGAGAUGGGGUUUCCCUUCGGGGCUGGUGGACAGGUGGUGCAUGUGUGUCGUCAGCUCGUGUCGUGAGAUGUUGGGUUAAGUCCCGCAACGAGCGCAACCCUCGUUCUAUGUUGCCAGCACGUGAUGGUGGGGACUCAUAGGAGACUGCCGGGGUCAACUCGGAGGAAGGUGGGGAUGACGUCAAAUCAUCAUGCCCCUUAUGUCUUGGGCUUCACGCAUGCUACAAUGGCCGGUACAAAGGGUUGCGAUACUGUGAGGUGGAGCUAAUCCCAAAAAGCCGGUCUCAGUUCGGAUUGAGGUCUGCAACUCGACCUCAUGAAGUCGGAGUCGCUAGUAAUCGCAGAUCAGCAACGCUGCGGUGAAUACGUUCCCGGGCCUUGUACACACCGCCCGUCAAGUCACGAAAGUUGGUAACACCCGAAGCCGGUGGUCACGUAACCCCCUGUGGGAGUAGCCGUCG